rnacentral:rRNA from 1 species
GAUGAACGCUAGCGGCAGGCUUAAUACAUGCAAGUCGAGGGGUAACAUGGUAGCAAUACUGAUGACGACCGGCAAACGGGUGCGGAACACGUACAGAACCUUCCUUUAAGCGGGGGAUAGCCCAUAGAAAUGUGGAUUAAUACCCCAUAGUAAUAUUUAAUGGCAUCAUUAGAUAUUUAAAGAUUUAUCACUUAAAGAUGGCUGUG